ACUUUUUAAUAAAACCAAAAUGCAAACAUUGAGGCCAAAGCCUUUUUAUUAAUUUAAGUCAGCUUAGAAGUAGACGAGCCACAAUCCAGAUACGUACCUAUUUAUUGGACCGCAACACUGAUAUCCAUACACGAACUUAGCAGCACUGUCCCGGGACCAAUGCUUUUGCAACACUUGAUCUGGCGUGCCUGGCAGAAAUCAAAACAAACGCACAGCACAACCACCCACACAGACAUGCAUGCAUACAUACAUACGGACAGCACAAAGAGCAGACAACAAAACCGCGUUCUGUGUUUUUCGUGAAAUGUCGUUUAUUUGGUGGCGGUUACUCGCGUUGACAAACAAAGGCAGGGCAACGCACCCACCGCCCUCUGAGAUAUCAUACUUGGUUAGCUGCAUACAUUCGCAAAUGUAAGCGCCAACAACUAAUGUUUGCCUAGGACAAAUCCGGACCCAGGAGUUUGGACUUUCCUGUUUCGUGCGCCGCCUAGGGACGCACUUCUGGCGUCAUGAACUGGCCUCCUCCAGAAUUGGUGUCGCCCUCGCCACUCCGCCGUUCUUCUCCAGAACCAGGUUGCCAACUACAUCAGCACCCUCGCUAUCCGAAUCCUGCAUAAGUGGGCUGUCGAGAAUUCGAAGAUUUUUUAAGUCUUCAUACUGAUUGGCAAUAUCCAACGUAACUGGGUCAGGUGGAGGUUGAAGUCUGCUUAACUCCAGCAACUGCAGAUGGUAGUAGACACCCUCGUCAUCUAUGGCAUAAAAGUGGGAGAAGUGGGCGUCUGUGAAGAACUGACGAGCUUCAUUUCCCACAAAUUUAACGCAGGCCAGGAGUUCCGGACGGAUGGCAUUGCCGCGCUUAUUCCGCCACAGUUCCGCAGUCCCUCGGUUCACCGGAUGAAACUCGUCGGCAACGAAUGUCACAUCUACAUCGAUGUCCGCUGCAAUGGGCGCCGCAUCCACAGCAUCCUCUUGUGUAACACUGUGCUGCUUAUGGCGUCGACUGCGCCGCCGUUUUUGCUCGCGCUCCAAUUGAUUGUUGCGCAUGUGCGUCACAUUCCAGAAGCACAGCUGCUCCGCGCAGCUGAUCAGGAGCAACUUACAUGGCGAGAAUAGCAAUUGCCGGAUGCAGUGCUCGUGGACCUCUUCAAUGCUGUAGAUCAGUUGAACUUUUCUGUUUUCAACGGCAAAGAGCUGUUGGGAAAUGUAUAAUUAGCAGGAAAUAAUUAUGAAACGAAUUUGUAAGACGUAUGUAUACCUCUAAAGUGCCAUUUUCGAAACCCAUAGCCAACAUGGUACCAUCAUCCGUGGCUACCAAAUAGCUGAUCUUGGCCUUCUGGGCGAUCUCUUCUUCGCAAAUCUGUUCGUACCUUAGUUGGUUACAGCUGAAUAUUAAACGGAAUACCUGUCGUUGGAAAUAAUUGAUAAUUGUUUAAUGAUAUUAUGUUUAGCAAACCCACAUCGAUGAUGUUGUUUUCGUAGGCCAGAAAGAGAAGACUGUUCUUUAGAUCAAAGCCGACAAUGUAUUCCUCCGAAUCCUUUGGUUUCACGAAUGCAGAUGGGUUAGCUAUAUCCAGAUGCUGUUGACUCCGUGGUCGGAAAACAAAAUGAUAUACUGUCCUUCCUGCAAGGACGCGUACUUGGUACUAACAUCCAUCAUCAAUGGCCACUGGUCAUUGGGUUGCAGCGGAUCUAUCUUUUCCAGCUGGAAUAUCACAGUCUUCUGGGCACUGUGUGCCGACGCCACCAGAAUGUUGGGACUGACCUGUUUGAGGUAAUCAAUGGGCUCCUCUAUAAACUGCUGAGGUAGCGCUGUAUCAUGAAUAACAUCUAUUAUCACUCCGUCCACAUAGCCAACGAAAAUCUGUUCGUCGUUAAAGGCGGAUAUGGCAUUUAUCUUACAGUUACUGGCAGCAUGAGUGGGUGUGAUUGUGGACCAUUCGGAAAUUCUAGAAAUGGCCGGUUUAAUUAGGUGAAUGCGCUCCUUGGAGUCCACAGCCAGAAGUUGCGUCCGCUCUCUGGUCAUGUCCAUCAGAGAACGCAGAUAGACAUUAGGCUCCAAGCAAGCCUUUGUCAUCACGCUUAUCUCAUCUGCACUGUGAACCCAGGCGAUUUCCCUGUUUUGAUGUGAAUUCGAGCCGCUUACAGAGCGCAAUGUGUGCACAUGGACCACCUGUUUUCCCUUAGCGCCGCACAAAACAAUGUACUUAUAGACAGGAUCAAACAGCUCGUAUAUAUCCACACACUCUAUAUGUUCGCUGACAUUGCUGCGUAGCACGGGAUCAGAGAUUUUCAGAUCAUACACAAUAAGUCCCUCGGACGUGCCCAGCAGUAGGUAACGUCCGUCAGUCGAACGCUUUCCGCAGGUGAUGAAACUUCCUUCUGGCAGUUGCACUGCCUCCGAUUGCAAACUAACCGAAAGACCUGGCAAAAAAUUGAGCCGCCAUACGCUGUACUUAAAAAUCAGCAACACGGUGGCGGUCUUACUCCUUUCGUCAAAUACAUCUAAGGCCAACGGCGUGUCGUUUUCGACAUUAAAAACAUGUAGUUCCAGCGUAUUGCUGGAACCGUUGGUCAAAUCCCAUACAGUAAGUGUGCAAUUUGAGGUGCAGACCACGUAAUAUCGCUUUAAAACCUGAACGAAACACCGUAUUCCCGACUGCAUCGUUUUCAAAACAGGCACGUGCGACAGUUUGAACUCCUGAUCUUGUUCGUCCCAAUUCAAAAUACUCACAUCACCAUUGAUGAAUGCCACAUGCAGUUGGAUGUUGGCCUCUGGCAAUCCGGCGUCUUCAUUUAAAUAGAAAGCAACAAUUUUCAGAUUUGCAUAGCUCCCUAUAAAGCGUUUAACCACGCUAUUGACUAGCUGCUGCUUGCUACCACCACUGUGGCGCCUUCCUGGACAAUCGGGCCACAGGGACCAAAGUUUUACGCUGCCGUUGCAGUGCAAGGUGAUCAAGUGCUUCUGUUGGUUAAAUACCGCCAUACGCAGAAUGUCACUGCUGUCGCUCUCGUCCCUUAGCAAAUAGGUGUCCUCUCCCUCCAGCGAAACAUCGGUUAGCAGGAUCUGCCCGCUGGCCAGCGCUAUCAAGCAAAAGUCGUUGUGAAGGUAGACAGCAUGGCGCCCCUCAUUAUCACCCAGGUUUAUAAUCUGACGGUGCUGGUGGAAACGACCGCUGAUAAAAGGAAAAAGUGAAAUAAUAAUAAUAAAGUAACUUUAAU
ensembl:ncRNA asRNA:CR44390 antisense RNA:CR44390